rnacentral:tmRNA from 1 species
GGGGGUGUUCUGGAUUCGACUCUGAAUUGGAGUGCACGGUGGCAUGUCGAGGAUGAUGGUUGGCCUCGUUAAACCUCCAUCAACACACUAAGUGGCACAAAUGAAGAAAUGCCCUUGGCUGCGUAAAUAAACGCAACCACGUUCCCCCGGCGACGCCUGCUGGCCGGACGGAGCGACGACAGCAGGCAUAGCGAGCACGGCCGCACGCCGGAUGUUCGUCGUAUCUUCUACGGGGUGCUGGCUGCAAUCGACGCGCGUACUUCCGCACGGUUGCAGCGAGACUUAAUGAAGUACUAAACAUGUAGAGGCUGUGUAUGAAAGCUCAGGGGACGCGGGUUCGACUCCCGCCACCUCCACCA